rnacentral:tRNA from 1 species
AAUGAAGUGCCUGAAUAAAGGACUAUUGUGAUAGAAUAGAUAAUGUAAAUAAUUACCUUCAUUA